rnacentral:sRNA from 1 species
UUCGCCCACGCCCUGCACUCCGGGACCGUCCCUGCGCGCUCUGGGCUCACCAUGGCCCGCGGGGCUGCGCUGGCGCUGCUGCUCUUCGGCCUGCUGGGUGCUCUGGUCGCCGCCCCGGAUGGUGGUUUCGAUUUAUCCGAUGCCCUUCCUGACAAUGAAGACAAGAAACCCACUGCAGUCCCCAAGAAACCCAGUGCUGGGGAUGACUUUGACUUAGGAGAUGCUGUUGUUGAUGGAGGAAAUGACGACCCACCACCACCGAACCCACCCAAACCGAAGCCAAAUCCAAACCCCAACCACCCUAGUUCCUCUGGUAGCUUUUCAGAUGCUGACCUUGCGGAUGGCAUUUCAGGUGGAGAAGGAAAAGGAGGCAGUGAUGGUGGAGGAAACCACAGGAAAGAAGGGGAAGAGGCUGAUGCCCCAGGCGUGAUCCCCGGGAUUGUGGGGGCUGUCGUGGUCGCUGUGGCUGGAGCCAUCUCUAGCUUCAUUGCUUACCAGAAAAAGAAGCUGUGCUUCAAAGAAAAUGAUGGCUGAAGACCUAGGGGUGAGCAGAGAACCCAGCCCAGGCCUGCGGAGCGUCCUGACCGUAAUCGUUUUAUCUGCUAAGAUGCAGCCUUAAAGCAAACCCUUCCAUCUGCCGCUCCCCUCGCCCUGCUGGCAAAUUCCCACCACAAUGGGAUUCUCAAUCACAUGGCAGAUUCUCUGCCUUCAGUUCCAUAUGCUUUUGCCUUUCUUGAUGCACAGAAGCUCAUUAUAGCAAAUCAUAUUUCUGCAUAAGAGCUUCAGAAAAUGAAGAGAAAUGCAGAUAUUUUCUUUUAAACGUAAAUCUAACAGAAACAGGG